UGGCCGCCAUGACGCGCCCUCCACCGUCGUCCGUUCUCCGCCGCGCCCUUCCACAACGCCGCUUUCUCAUCCCCGUCCGCCACCACGCCCUCCGCCGCCGCUUUCUCGCUACCACUUGCCCCUCGGCCGCCGUCUGUUUCGAUGCUACGCCGCACCUCUCCAUUGACGUUUCGUCUCUUCUUCCAUGCCGUGCUCGUCCGCCACCGCGCCCAUCCGUCACCGUCUAAUCUUGCCACCGUGCCACACCCCUCCACCGCCGUUAAUCUCGUCCACCACGCCACGCCCCUCCAUCACCGUUAAUCUGGUCCGCUAGGUCGCUCCCUUCCACCGCGCCCUUCACAGAGCAAAGCUUCUGCUAGCGACUGAGCCACUACACGCCCAUGUUUUCUCUCUUCUUCCCUGGUCUGCAUCGAUCUAUCUCUUCCUCCAAGGGCACUUUCAGUUAAGAAAAGGGUGGUACUGGAUACUACUGAUUUGAGCUAGUACCGGGACAAUUAAGCGACCACGUCAGAUAAAAUGGCAGAUUGCUUACUCUUGUACAUGUGUUGGAGGCUUGCUGGAAUGACACUGUUUUCAGUCAUGUCUACUUUACUAGAGGCUUCAGUAGAUUUAGAUCAGUAUAAUUUGUACUCCCUCCGUCCAACAAAAAAUGUUUCAGGUUUAUCAAAAUUUGUAUGUAUCUAGACAUGAUUUAGUGUAUAGAUGCAUUCAAAUUUGGUCAAAGUCGAGACAUCCUUUGUUAGACGGAGGGAGUACUCAUUUUUGUUUAUGUGCUUCAGUAGAUUUUGUACUCAUUUUUGUUUAUGUGUGGCCAUGCUUGAAACUUUUCUGUUCAGUGUGAACAAUUCGGCAAACAUAUGUAGACAUUCUGUUGAUGAUAAUGGGUUAUUAAAUAAAGAAUAAA